UUCCUUCACGUAAAGUCCUGGCCACAAAAGCAAAGUUCGUGGGGAAAAAUAGCAAUUUGCUGUACUUUUGAGGCAUAAGCAAUUAGAAAAUAACACUUACUACCCAGGGACAAAAAGCGUGGUACGUAGGGUAAUGCUUGUGGUGUAUUCACCUACCCUAGAUUAUAGCGGCCUCUGGUGGCGAGACACGGGAUCGUCCGAGAAUCUGGAGCCAAAACCUCAAGUCCCAAUCAGUUGCCUGCAUUCACCACCAGGAGGGAGCCCUCAUCAGCCAGCAGCAGAAUUAUAGCGGCCUCUGGUGGCGAGACACGGGAUCGUCCGAGAAUCUGGAGCCAAAACCUCAAGUCCCAAUCAGUUGCCUGCAUUCACCACCAGGAGGGAGCCCUCAUCAGCCAGCAGCAGAAUUAUAGCGGCCUCUGGUGGCGAGACACGGGAUCGUCUGAGAAUCUGGAGCCAAAACCUCAAGUCCCAAUCAGUUGCCUGCAUUCACCACCAGGAGGGAGCCCUCAUCAGCCAGCAGCAGAAUUAUAGCGGCCUCUGGUGGCGAGACACGGGAUCGUCCGAGAAUCUGGAGCCAAAACCUCAAGUCCCAAUCAGUUGCCUGCAUUCACCACCAGGAGGGAGCCCUCAUCAGCCAGCAGCAGAGUGAGCAUGCAUGAUGACAAUGAUGAUGGUGGUGGAUAGCCAAGUGAGAAGUAAAUUAUUCUGGGAUGUCUUACAUCACGGAAGUUAAAACAUAUGCCCAAAAGUAUCAAACUACCAUCACCUCAACCACCACGAUUAUAAUCAGCCAUGAUCACUCCACUGCUGGAUGAGGCAUCUGGCUCUCAUCAUCAUCAGCCAUGAUCACUCCACUGCUGGAUGAGCAGUGCAGACGAUGUAGAACGGUGGUGCUUAACCUGGCGUGCACGCACCCCCUGGGGAGCGAGAUGCCCUUUCUGGGGGUGCGAGACACUGCCCAGGUGCUUUUAGAAGGUAAAUAAUCCGUGAUGCAGGUGUUUUGGGUUAAAUCGCGUAAAUAUAAGCACGUCGUAAAACUGGUACCGGUGUGUGCUGUACUAGUG